UUGUCCUUAUGCGUUGUAUAUAUUGCGGCCACAACGGAGAGCAAGGCAUCCACAGCGCACAAACCACAGCUAGCUGCACUUGCUAGCAAGUUGCAGUAUCCACAAUACUUUUACCAUGGGAAGUAGCACAAGGCGCUGCAGAGGGAGAAAGCUAUCAUGUUGCUUUAUCUUCCUCAACAUCUUCAAUUCCUGCAGGAGAUCAUCAUAUGACACAGCAGAUGAUGAUGCUGUGAAUGCAGCGGGUGACUAUCAAGGCAUUAUUUAUUGGGAAGUUGAACCUGGCAUUAACAGGAGAGCUUCUGACUUCAUCAAGAGAUUUCACGAAUCCCGUGUAUGAAUAUUGCUGUUUGCCGAAUUCAACUUGAUCAUGUGCCAUGCAUUUACGGUAUCUGGAGUAGGCCGUGUUUAAUUUCCCAUGCUCAAAAAAUUCGCUUGAAUAAUUGUAGCAUAACCUUUUCAUGCUUGUGAGGCAACUGAUCUCUACUCUAUGUCUUUAAUUUUUAUUUCAUUCUGGCUCCGCAGCAGGAUCCGGAUAAACUUAAAUUUGUAAGCCUCAUGAUGAUACUUCAAACUGUCUUUUCCUAGUUCAUAUAGCAGAAGCCUUGUAUCUACCUCAAACCAAGCAAGAGCAGAAUGUUUUAAUAAUUAGGAGUGUAAAUUAAUUGUUUUUAAGCGC
rnacentral:lncRNA from 1 species